rnacentral:misc_RNA from 1 species
CCUACCUUUUUAUCAAGCGCCUUGUCUCAUUGGGGCGCCUCGGUGCGCUUCAGUGAGGUGUUGCGCCUCAGCUGUCCCGAGGUGCUUGGGGCUGCGCCUGGUGCGCUUUGCGCCUGAGGCACGCCUUUGAUAACAGUGCAUCAACGUAUACCACAAAUAAGAUUAUACCACUUUCUGAAUGCUUAAAAAAUACAGAAUGAUCAAAAUUGCUCUUUUGCAUACCAAACUGAUUUACCACCUCACUAAAUCUUCCAAACCAAGCUCGGAGACUUUGUUUCAAACUAUAAAGAGAUUUGUGAAGCCUGCAAACUUUGCUUGAAUCCCCUUGAGCAACAAACCUAGGUGGUUGCUUCAUAUAUACCUCUUCUUGAAGAUUACCAUGAAGAAAAACAUUCUUGAUAUCCAACUGGUGCAAGGGCCAAUCAUAUAUAGCUGCUAAAGAAAUGAACAAGCGAACAGAAGCAAGUUUAGUUACAAGUAAAAAAGUAACAGAGUAAUCAACUCCAUAGGUCUGAGUAUAUCCUUUUGCCCCAAGACGAGCUUUUAACUGAGCCACAGAUCCAUCGGGAUUCACUUUCACUGUGAACACCCAUUUACAACCUACAACCUUCUUACUAGUGGGCAGAGAUACCAAGUCCCAUGUACCAUUAGUUUCUAGAGCCUUCAUCUCCUCUCUCAUAGCAUCACACCAGCCGGGAUGGGAUAAUGCCUCACUAACAGUUUUGGGAAUAUAGAUAGAGUCUAAAGAAGUAACAAAACAGGAAGAACAAGAAGAUAACUGAUUAUAAGAAACUAAAGAUGAAAUAGGAUAAGUACAUGUGCGUCUAGCUUUGCGAAGAGCAAUUGGUAAAUCAGGGUCAGAAUUAGGACCAGAACCAGGAACUGGAUCUCCCAACGAAGAAGCCGGUAGAGAGUUUGAGUCUGAGUCUUGGAUCUCUUCGAUCCUCUUGGGAAAGGUCCUAGAAUAAACAUGAUGAACUGGUGGUUUAGGCUGAAUUGGUACCGAGGCUGAAGGAUCAGAUGAUGGGAGAGGACUAGACAUAGUAUAUAUUAAGAGAUCAUCCUCUUCCCCCUGACUUUCAUACAUAGAUAAUUGAGAAAAAAAUGGGGUAAACUCAAAAAAUAUAACAUCAGCAG